rnacentral:rRNA from 1 species
UACAGAGGGGGCAAGCGUUAUUCGGAAUUAUUGGGCGUAAAGGGCGCGUAGGCGGCUUGGCAAGUGGAAGGUGAAAUCCCUCGGCUUAACCGAGGAACUGCCCUCCAAACUGCUUGGCUUGAGACCGGGAGAGGUGAGUGGAAUUCCCAGUGUAGCGGUGAAAUGCGUAGAUAUUGGGAGGAACACCAGUGGCGAAGGCGGCUCACUGGACCACAACUGACGCUGAGGCGCGAAAGCUAGGGGAGCAAACAGG